AGACCGGCGGGUGCUAUACAUGCAGUCGAACGCGUUGGCCCAAUUGAUUGAUGGUGCUUGCACCUGAUUGAUUUUGGUCGCCAACGAGUGGCGGACGGGUGAGUAACACGUAGGUAACCUGCCCAGAAGCGGGGGACAACAUUUGGAAACAGAUGCUAAUACCGCAUAACAACGUUGUUCGCAUGAACAACGCUUAAAAGAUGGCUUCUCGCUAUCACUUCUGGAUGGACCUGCGGUGCAUUAGCUUGUUGGUGGGGUAACGGCCUACCAAGGCGAUGAUGCAUAGCCGAGUUGAGAGACUGAUCGGCCACAAUGGGACUGAGACACGGCCCAUACUCCUACGGGAGGCAGCAGUAGGGAAUCUUCCACAAUGGGCGCAAGCCUGAUGGAGCAACACCGCGUGAGUGAAGAAGGGUUUCGGCUCGUAAAGCUCUGUUGUUAAAGAAGAACACGUAUGAGAGUAACUGUUCAUACGUUGACGGUAUUUAACCAGAAAGUCACGGCUAACUACGUGCCAGCAGCCGCGGUAAUACGUAGGUGGCAAGCGUUAUCCGGAUUUAUUGGGCGUAAAGAGAGUGCAGGCGGUUUUCUAAGUCUGAUGUGAAAGCCUUCGGCUUAACCGGAGAAGUGCAUCGGAAACUGGAUAACUUGAGUGCAGAAGAGGGUAGUGGAACUCCAUGUGUAGCGGUGGAAUGCGUAGAUAUAUGGAAGAACACCAGUGGCGAAGGCGGCUACCUGGUCUGCAACUGACGCUGAGACUCGAAAGCAUGGGUAGCGAACAGGAUUAGAUACCCUGGUAGUCCAUGCCGUAAACGAUGAGUGCUAGGUGUUGGAGGGUUUCCGCCCUUCAGUGCCGGAGCUAACGCAUUAAGCACUCCGCCUGGGGAGUACGACCGCAAGGUUGAAACUCAAAGGAAUUGACGGGGGCCCGCACAAGCGGUGGAGCAUGUGGUUUAAUUCGAAGCUACGCGAAGAACCUUACCAGGUCUUGACAUCUUGCGCCAACCCUAGAGAUAGGGCGUUUCCUUCGGGACGCAAUGACAGUGUGCAUGGUCGUCGUCAGCUCGUGUCGUGAGAUGUUGGGUUAAGUCCCGCAACGAGCGCAACCCUUGUUACUAGUUGCCAGCAUUAAGUUGGGG
rnacentral:rRNA from 1 species